AUGCUUUCUUUGGCAGCACAUAUACUAAAAUAGGAACAACACAGAGAUUAGCAUGGCCCCUUUAUAAGGAUGACAUGCAAAUUUAUGAAGUAUACCAUAUUUUG
rnacentral:snRNA from 1 species